UGAGUAACGCGUAGGAAUCUGGCCCAAUAGUGGGGGAACUAGCCCGGGAAACUCGGAUUAAUACCGCAGUACGCCCUACGGGGGAAAGCAGGGGAUCUUCGGACCUUGUGCUAUUGGAUGAGCCUGCGUUGGAUUAGCUAGUGGUAGGUAAGGGCCUACCAAGGCGACGAUCCAUAGCUGGUCUGAGAGGAUGAUCAGCCACACUGGAACUGAGACACGGUCCAG
rnacentral:rRNA from 1 species